CCUACGGGAGGCAGCAGUGAGGAAUAUUGGUCAAUGGCCGUGAGGCUGAACCAGCCAAGUCGCGUGAAGGAAGACGGCUCUAUGGGUUGUAAACUUCUUUUAUCGGGGAGUAAAGCUAUUCACGUGUGACUCUUUGCAAGUACCCUAUGAAUAAGCAUCGGCUAACUCCGUGCCAGCAGCCGCGGUAAUACGGAGGAUGCGAGCGUUAUCCGGAUUUAUUGGGUUUAAAGGGUGCGUAGGGUGGUUUUUAAGUCAGCGGUGAAAGUUUGGGGCUCAACCCUAAAAUUGCCGUUGAAACUGGAAGACUUGAGUGUGUGAGAGGUAGGCGGAAUGCGUGGUGUAGCGGUGAAAUGCAUAGAUAUCACGCAGAACUCCGAUUGCGAAGGCAGCUUACUAGGCCACAACUGACGCUGAUGCACGAAAGCGUGGGGAUCAAACAGGAUUAGAUACCCGGGUAGUC
rnacentral:rRNA from 1 species